rnacentral:siRNA from 1 species
AAAGACAAGUUUACCGACCGUGCA